rnacentral:rRNA from 1 species
ACUACGGGUGGCAGCAGUGAGGAAUAUUGGUCAAUGGGCGAGAGCCUGAACCAGCCAAGUCGCGUGAGGGAUGACUGCCCUAUGGGUUGUAAACUUCUUUUACAUGGGAAUAAAGUGCCUGAUGUGUGCUGCUUUGAAUGUACCGUAUGAAUAAGGAUCGGCUCACUCCGUGCCAUCAGCCGCGGUAAUACGGGGGAUCCGAGCGUUAUCCUGAUUUGGUGGGGUUAAAGGGAGGGUAGGCGGGUUGCUAAGUCAGUUGUGAACGUUUGGGGCUCAACCGGAAAAUUGCAGUUGAUACUGGCAAUCUUGAGUGCGGGAGAGGUAGGCGGAAUUCGUGGUGUAGCGGUGAAAUGCGUAGAUAUCACGAAGAACUCCGAUUGCGAAGGCAGCGUACUGGCGCGCAACUGACGCUGAGGCGCGAAAGCGUGGGUAUCAAACAGGAUUAGAUACCCUGGUAGUC